GCUUCGUAGCUCAGUGACGUGAUAGAGCGUUUGAACCGGAAUCGCAAAGUCAUGGGUUCGAACCCCGUUGGAACCU